GACGAACGCUGGCGGCGCGCUUAACACAUGCAAGUCGAGCGAGAACCAGUCCUUCGGGACUGGGGACAGCGGCGAACGGGUGAGUAACACGUGGGUAACCUGCCCUCGGCACCGGAAUAGCCCGGGGAAACCCGGAUUAAUGCCGGAUGGCCUCUCUGCCCCUCGGGGCGGCGAGAAAAGGUAGCUUCGGCCUCCGGCCGAGGAUGAGCCCGCGGCCGAUUAGCUUGUGGGUGGGGUAACGGCUCACCAAGGCGACGAUCGGUAGCUGGUCUGAGAGGACGAUCAGCCACACGGGGACUGAGACACGGCCCAGACUCCUACGGGAGGCAGCAGUGGGGAAUCUUGCGCAAUGGGCGAAAGCCUGACGCAGCGACGCCGCGUGCGGGAAGAAGGCCUUCGGGUUGUAAACCGCUUUCAGGAGGGACGAAGCCACUCGGGUUAAUAGCCUAGAGGGUGACGGUACCUCCAGAAGAAGCCCCGGCUAACUAUGUGCCAGCCGCCGCAGUAAGAC
rnacentral:rRNA from 1 species